AGCCACUGCACUCCAGCCUGGGUAACAGAGUGAGACACACUGUUUCUUUAAAAAAAAAACAAAGCAAAACUGAUGGGAUGGGAAGAAUGAAGUUAGGAAAAAAUUGAUACCACUUCAUGUUGUUACUUUGAAAAAAGAGAAAUAGAAAAAAAUUGAGCAUCAA